rnacentral:rRNA from 1 species
GCAAUACUCGAGAGUGGCGAACGGGUGAGUAAUAUAUCGGAACGUGCCCAGUCGUGGGGGAUAACGUAGAGAAAUUUACGCUAAUACCGCAUACGAUCUAAGGAUGAAAGCGGGGGAUUCGCAAGAACCUCGCGCGAUUGGAGCGGCUGAUAUCAGAUUAGGUUGUUGGUGAGGUAAAAGCUCACCAAGCCGACGAUCUGUAGCUGGUUUGAGAGAACGACCAGCCACACUGGGACUGAGACACGGCCCAGACUCCUACGGGAGGCAGCAGUGGGGAAUUUUGGACAAUGGGCGAAAGCCUGAUCCAGCAAUGCCGCGUGCAGGAAGAAGGCCUUCGGGUUGUAAACUGCUUUUGUACGGAACGAAAAGGCUCUUUCUAAUAAAGAGGGCCCAUGACGGUACCGUAAGAAUAAGCACCGGCUAACUACGUGCCAGCAGCCGCGGUAAUACGUAGGGUGCGAGCGUUAAUCGGAAUUACUGGGCGUAAAGCGUGCGCAGGCGGUUCUAUAAGACAGAUGUGAAAUCCCCGGGCUCAACCUGGGAAUGGCAUUUGUGACUGUAGAGCUAGAGUACGGUAGAGGGGGAUGGAAUUCCGCGUGUAGCAGUGAAAUGCGUAGAUAUGCGGAGGAACACCGAUGGCGAAAGCAAUCCCCUGGACCUGUAC